ACGGCCAUAUCAUGUUGAAACAUCGGUUCCCGUACAAUCACCGAAUUUGAGCAACGUCGUGCAUGUUCAGUACCGAGAUGGGUGACCUCUAGGGAAUAUCAGGUGA